UGCCGUGUCACUCGUGUCGUCAAGUGCAGCAGGACGGUUUCGCAGGUUGAAGAAAGAGAAAAAAUCCAGCGAAGGUCGAAUCAAGCAGCCGUGAAAGAUCCAUUCGCAGCAACGAGCCAUCUUGUGUAUCGGACGAAGACCGGAUUCUUUUCCCCAGCGCUUCUCUAAUUGCAUUCCUAACCUCUUCGGCAUAUUUGGGUGCACGAGGCAAAACAGCGGAAUCUAAUUUGAGGUAAUUAGCCGUUUCACUGCAUAAUCUUUCGACUAGUUGUUACUCCGAUAAGGAGGAAGUAGUAUCGUCGAAAUUCCCCCGUUGUUAUCGUGCUGUAUUCCAAGGCGGGCCAAUCUUUCGAAACCCGCGAUAUCGCAAUCGGCCUAGUUUCGAAAAUGUUCCUCGAAACAGACACGAUUGCGAUUUUAAUUAAACUGCUCGUGUGUAUCAUUUUAUACUCGCGAAUAUCUUACUACGUUGUUUCCACGUUGUUUCCACUGUUGCUCAGUAGUUGGCGUAAUCGCCGUCUAACUUCAUUUUGGCGUCCGAUCGAGUCAAUUGGACCACUCUGUUUUCUACUAAUACCAUAUGUUUCUCUUUCAGCAUUCAUUUCUUUUUUUAAAUAGUUCACCAAGUGUGAACAAAAUUAGUUAUUUCGUAAAGACUCGAAAUUUAGGUUUAGUUCUACUGCUGCAGAUUGGUAACGAAUUUGACAAUAGGAUUAUCCGAAGGAUGGCCCAGACGACAAUGUAUGUUAAACAAGGCGACCGUAUUAUGUUUAUAAUUGCAAGUCAUUCUCCUGGAUCAGCGUCGAACUCGAACAACCGAACUCGAUAUUCUGCACAAAAACUAGUGUCGCGUUAGCGUUUUUAUUCAUCGACCGAGGCGACACGAGCAUAACUCUGAAAGAGCAGUUUGAAUUUUAGACAAACUUCGUAGAUUUAAUCGUCGAUCUUUAGAAAAUACAUUGGAUCUUUUUUUGUGCAGAAAUCAUGAUUUUAUUAGGAGUUAUUAAUUAGAAUUUUCAAGUUCCACCCUUGUUCUUUUAGCAAAUACAAUAGAAAAAGAAUCCUAAUUUACUAAAACCAUGGAGCUAGAGUUUAGAGGCAGGCCCAUAGAAAAAUUGGAAGUUACGGCCAGUCCAGGACAAACUGCAGAUACUAGGGGAUCCAGGAGUGCGAUUUCCAGCCUCUCAAGGCUUCAGAAGGGAUGACUUUUCCACCUCGGAGAGAGAUCCAAGUGGCACAGGCGAUCCAGUGUUCCAGCAAGGCGUAACAAGUGUCCGUGUGACGUCACGCGGGUUUCUGGAGGCGGAGCUUGUGAUUGGGGGAGCAGGUGGGGGGGUGGGGCUCUCCCUCAUCGUGGAUCGUUCGCCCCACCCCCGCGAUUUUGUUCCUUCAUGCCACCGCCACCUUCGACCUCCUCCUUCUCUACCUCGCGGCCUCUUUUCCUCUCUUUUGAACUUUGUUCGGCGACCCCCCACCAACUAAACCUCCACGAGGUAGGGAGACGAGUAUUACCUUGCUGGGAUAGCCAUUGCAAGAGACAAUCUCGGUGCAACUUCAUCUGCAUCUUUUCUUCGAUCAGCUCGCAUUAUCAUAGUUUACACAUUGGUGGUUGAAAAUAAUAAUUGAAACAAGCUAGCGCCAGCAAUCUUUAA